AUUGAACGCUGGCGGCAUGCCUUACACAUGCAAGUCGAACGGUAACAGGCCGCAAGGUGCUGACGAGUGGCGAACGGGUGAGUAAUGCAUCGGAACGUGCCCAGUCGUGGGGGAUAACGCAGCGAAAGCUGCGCUAAUACCGCAUACGAUCUAUGGAUGAAAGCGGGGGACCGUAAGGCCUCGCGCGAUUGGAGCGGCCGAUGUCAGAUUAGGUAGUUGGUGAGGUAAAGGCUCACCAAGCCAACGAUCUGUAGCUGGUCUGAGAGGACGACCAGCCACGCUAGGAGUGAGACACGGCCCAGACUCCUACGGGAGGCAGCGGUGGGGAAUUUUGGACAAUGCGCGCAAGCCUGAUCCGGUAAUGCCGCGUGCAGGAAGAAGGCCUUCGGGUUGUAAACUGCUUUUGUACGGAACGAAACGGUCCGGGUUAAUAGCCUGGUCUAAUGACGGUACCGUAAGAAUAAGCACCGGCUAACUACGUGCCAGCAGCCGCAGUAAGAC
rnacentral:rRNA from 1 species